rnacentral:sRNA from 2 species
UGACAUAAUACAGUGUGCUUUGCGGUUACCAGCCGCAGGCGACUGACGAAACCUCGCUCCGGCGGGGUUUUUU